GUAGGUGAACCUGCGGAAGGAUCAAUAUGGAGGGAGAGAGUGAAAUUUGUUGAAAGAACAGUGAACAAUCAUUAACUUAACACACACACACACACAACUCAUAACAAUGGAUCUCUGGGCUCUU
rnacentral:misc_RNA from 1 species